rnacentral:misc_RNA from 1 species
CACGGACUGGGCGAACGUUACUCGGAAUCACUGGGCUUAAAGGGUGCGUAGGCGGCUGGCCCAGUCGGGUGUGAAAGGCCUCGGCUCAACCGAGGUAUGGCGCCCGAAACUGGUCAGCUUGAGUGAGAUAGGGGUGUGCGGAACUUCCGGUGGAGCGGUGAAAUGUGUUGAGAUCGGAAGGAACGCCGGCGGCGAAAGCGGCACACUGGGUCUUCACUGACGCUGAGGCACGAAAGCCAGGGGAGCAAACAGG